rnacentral:rRNA from 1 species
GGAAGCAAGCAGCGAACGGCUCAGUAACGCAGUCCGGACCGGCUUGGCAGAAUGCGGCGGACACCCGAGGAAACCUUCGGUCAAGACGACGAAAGGAAGGGGGCAUCCGAGAGGAGACAGGACGCCAGAGCGGCGCAGGGCGCAGCCAAACGGGAGACUGGCCCAUCAGCUAGAAGGCCGGGUACGGGCCGGCCUUGGCGACGACGGGAGACGGGGAAUAGGGGUUUGAUUCCGGAGAGGGUGUAUGAGACAUGGCACCUAGGUCCAAGGACCGCAGCAGGCGCGGAAAUUGCUCACUUCCCAGAGGGAGAAGCAGCGAGGAGACAUACGGCGGAUGGGCGCGGGGCAAUGCAGCGCGCGACGAGCGACUGGAGGGCAAGUCUGGUGCCAGCAGCCGCGGUAAUUCCAGCUCCAGAAGGGUCUGUGGUGGUUGCUGCAGUUAAAAGGUCCGCAGCCGGGCAGGGCGCCCGUGGGGAAAGCAGGCGGCUCAAAGGGAGCGUUGAGCACGGGACAAGGGCCGAGAGGGGCAGGCGGGGGCAGGAGGAUUUGGCAGCCAGAGGUGAAAUUCGGAGACUUGCCGAGGACGGACAGAGGCGAAGGCGCCUGCCAGGGAUGCUUUCAUUGGUCAGGGACGAAGGCCGGAGGAUCGAAGACGAUUAGAGACCGUUGUAGUUCCGGCGGUAAACGAUGCCGACAGGGACGUCCGGGCCGAAGGCGGCGCGGGCGGCCCAAGAGAAAUCAAGAGUGCGCGGGCUCUGGGGAAAGUAUAGUCGCAAGACGGAAACUUAAAGGAAAUUGACGGAGAGAUACCACAAAGAGUGGAGCAUGCGGCUUAAUUUGACUCAACACGGGGCAGCUUACCGGCGGAGGAUGUCGUGGGGAUCAGAAGGAGAUUCGGCAGAGAGUGGUGCAUGGCCGCUCUUGGCCCGUGGGGUGACCUGUCUGGUUGAUUCCGCUAACGGGCGUGAUCCGCGUGCCUGAGGCAGGCAGACGGCCGGCGGGUAGCCGGAGGAGGGCGGGCGAUAGCAGGUCCGUGAUGCCCUUGGAAGCGGCGGGCUGCACGCGUGCUACAGUGCGCGCAGGAGAAAGUGCCGAGAGGCGCGAGCGGAGCGGCGCGCGGGGGAUGCCCGGCUGGAAGCGCGGGCCGAACGAGGAAUUCUCAGUAUCCGCGGGUCACCAGCCCGCGGAGACAGCGUCCCUGUCUCUUGUACACACCGCCCGUCGCUAUCUG